rfam:Aedes albopictus isolate Foshan contig76499, whole genome shotgun sequence.
CCAAAGGUUUUUUUAUGAAUUGCCGUCAAAACCACAUAAAAUUAACGAAGAAAUUCCUU